ACCCUUCUAAAGCAGCGGCAAAUCUGCUCUCUAAGCAGGCCAACCUGUGAGGCCUUGAGGUUGACCCUACACAGUGUGGUCGCAUUUAUUGAGUGUCUCCUGAAGUCUGGAUUUCAGUACAUUCUGGUAGGAAAAUUCGGACAGGACCCUUUGGAGAGGUUUUUUUGGAAUUACCAGGCAUGUGACUGGAGAUGGAGGGCAGCCAGCCAACUGUGCAGCAAUUGUUAUUUAUUCACCGUAUGCUGUCGGUGAACAACAUCGUUCAGCCACCAGAACGAGCAUCGCUAGAUUGCGAAGGUCCAAACAGACUUCUGAAGUUGCAGGACAUUUCUGGCAAAAAAGCACGAACAACAAAUCAGUGCUAUUUGAAGAGAUACUUUUGUGGAGCCUGCGGAUGAUGAAUUUAGUAUAGCCACCUCCCAGCCUUUGACAACAAAGCAGAGCAUCCUGGACUACCUUGGUGGCUACGUUGUUGAAAAGUUUUUGACAAUGACCUGCGCUGCCUGCCUCAAAAGGUUGAAGACAUCAUCAAGGCAGCCAAGUGACUCGACAGCUACCAAGUCAAAAGGUUACUUGCAAGUCCCUUCAGCCCACCUGCUGGGACUUUUGCAGGUUGUUGAAGACCACGUAGAGAGAUUUACUGUGGAGAAGGUUCAUCUAGUGCUGUUUAUAUGAACAUCAUAGAAAUUAUCCUUGGCGAUGAUUGGACUGUGCAUGCAAGUGUAGAGUGCCAAUCACAUUUUGUAGCAACAACAGCUGAAAUUGUCUACUUUUUUCUGAGGUGCCGACUGCAUUUUUUCAAAAGGGAGAAAAAUAAAGCUUCAAGAGCAGGCAAGCGUCUAGUAUUCCCUGCAUCUGGACGAAGAAAGCCAGGUGACUGAGCUUCUGUAGCACGCUUGUACUUAUAGUAAUAAUUGUUGGGGUUUAACGUGCCAAAACCACAAUAUGAUUAUGAGAGACGUCGUAGUGGAGGGCUCCAGAAAUUUUGACCACCUGGGGUUCUUUAACCUUAAGUGCUUUUUUUUUUAAUUUCCCAACCAAGAGUGCCUAUUUCUUUUAUUGCUGAUUUCGAAUCUGGUUGUACUUUUUUAAAAAGUAGCUAGUCGAUGUUGAAAAAAUAUUUGUACCACAUACUUAGUCAAAUCAAUACAAUAAAGUUUAUUUCUGGACAACCAGCUGCCUGCUGCUAAUAAAAAUAAAAACCUUACAAAGGAAGCAGUUGCAAACGCCACAUCUUUCUUCACUUAUGCAGGCUAAGUACCCUUGGGCUAUUUCACACGGGAAGCUUCGGGACUGUGUGGAAGAUUUCAAAACACGGAAUAACGCAAAGCGGCUUGUUGCAGCUCCUGCACCAAAAGAGAGUUUUCUUUCUCAACUUUUUCCCAUUUUCUCCUCGCUUCCGAGAG